rnacentral:rRNA from 1 species
AGAGUUUGAUCAUGGCUCAGGACGAACGCUGGCGGCGCGCUUAACACAUGCACGUCGAGCGAGAACCAGGGCUUCGGCCCUGGGGACAGCGGCGAACGGGUGAGUAACACGUGGAUAACCUGCCCUCGGCACCGGGAUAGCCCGGGGAAACCCGGAUUAAUACCGGAUGGCCCUUCCGGCUCACGAGCCGGUCGGAAAAGGUAGCUUCGGCCUCCGGCCGAGGAUGGGUCCGCGGCGGAUUAGCUUGUUGGUGGGGUAACGGCCUACCAAGGCUCCGAUCCGUAGCUGGUCUGAGAGGACGAUCAGCCACACUGGGACUGAGACACGGCCCAGACUCCUACGGGAGGCAGCAGUGGGGAAUCUUGCGCAAUGGGCGAAAGCCUGACGCAGCGACGCCGCGUGAGGGAGGAAGGCCUUCGGGUUGUAAACCUCUUUCAGGAGGGACGAAGCUACUCGGGUGAAUAGCCCAGAGGGUGACGGUACCUCCAGAAGAAGCCCCGGCUAACUACGUGCCAGCCGCCGCGGUAAUAC